GACGAACCGUGCGAACGUUGUUCGGAUUCACUGGGCUUAAAGGGCGCGUGGGCGGGCGAUCAAGUCAGGGGUGAAAUCUUUCGGCUCAACCGGAAAAGGGCCUUUGAUACUGGUCGCCUCGAGGGAGGUAGGGGCAUGCGGAACUUCCGGUGGAGCGGUGAAAUGCGUAGAUAUCGGAAGGAACGCCGGUGGCGAAAGCGGCGUGCUGGACCUCUUCUGACGCUGAGGCGCGAAAGCCAGGGGAGCGAACGGG
rnacentral:rRNA from 1 species